rnacentral:rRNA from 1 species
UACAGAGGUCCCAAGCGUUGUUCGGAUUCACCGGGCGUAAAGGGUGCGUAGGUGGUUGGGUAAGUCUGAUGUGAAAUCUCCGGGCUCAACCCGGAAAUGGCAUUGGAUACUAUCCAGCUCGAGGAUCGGAGGGGGGACUGGAAUUCUUGGUGUAGCAGUGAAAUGCGUAGAUAUCAAGAGGAACACCAGUGGCGAAGGCGGCUUCCUGGGCUAAUACUGACACUGAGGUGCGAAAGCGUGGGGAGCAAACAGG